rnacentral:rRNA from 1 species
UUUAUGGAGAGUUUGAUCCUGGCUCAGAGUGAACGCUGGCGGCGUGCCUAAUACAUGCAAGUCGAACGAUGAAGCUUCUAGCUUGCUAGAGUGCUGAUUAGUGGCGCACGGGUGAGUAACGCAUAGGUUAUGUGCCUCUUAGUUUGGGAUAGCCAUUGGAAACGAUGAUUAAUACCAGAUACUCCCUACGGGGGAAAGAUUUAUCGCUAAGAGAUCAGCCUAUGUCCUAUCAGCUUGUUGGUAAGGUAAUGGCUUACCAAGGCUAUGACGGGUAUCCGGCCUGAGAGGGUGAACGGACACACUGGAACUGAGACACGGUCCAGACUCCUACGGGAGGCAGCAGUAGGGAAUAUUGCUCAAUGGGGGAAACCCUGAAGCAGCAACGCCGCGUGGAGGAUGAAGGUUUUAGGAUUGUAAACUCCUUUUGUUAGAGAAGAUAAUGACGGUAUCUAACGAAUAAGCACCGGCUAACUCCGUGCCAGCAGCCGCGGUAAUACGGAGGGUGCAAGCGUUACUCGGAAUCACUGGGCGUAAAGAGCGCGUAGGCGGGAUAGUCAGUCAGGUGUGAAAUCCUAUGGCUUAACCAUAGAACUGCAUUUGAAACUACUAUUCUAGAGUGUGGGAGAGGUAGGUGGAAUUCUUGGUGUAGGGGUAAAAUCCGUAGAGAUCAAGAGGAAUACUCAUUGCGAAGGCGACCUGCUGGAACAUUACUGACGCUGAUUGCGCGAAAGCGUGGGGAGCAAACAGGAUUAGAUACCCUGGUAGUCCACGCCCUAAACGAUGGAUGCUAGUUGUUGGAGGGCUUAGUCUCUCCAGUAAUGCAGCUAACGCAUUAAGCAUCCCGCCUGGGGAGUACGGUCGCAAGAUUAAAACUCAAAGGAAUAGACGGGGACCCGCACAAGCGGUGGAGCAUGUGGUUUAAUUCGAAGAUACACGAAGAACCUUACCUAGGCUUGACAUUGAGAGAAUCCGCUAGAAAUAGUGGAGUGUCUGGCUUGCUAGACCUUGAAAACAGGUGCUGCACGGCUGUCGUCAGCUCGUGUCGUGAGAUGUUGGGUUAAGUCCCGCAACGAGCGCAACCCCCUUUCUUAGUUGCUAACAGGUCAUGCUGAGAACUCUAAGGAUACUGCCUCCGUAAGGAGGAGGAAGGUGGGGACGACGUCAAGUCAUCAUGGCCCUUACGCCUAGGGCUACACACGUGCUACAAUGGGGUGCACAAAGAGAAGCAAUACUGCGAAGUGGAGCCAAUCUUCAAAACACCUCUCAGUUCGGAUUGUAGGCUGCAACUCGCCUGCAUGAAGCUGGAAUCGCUAGUAAUCGCAAAUCAGCCAUGUUGCGGUGAAUACGUUCCCGGGUCUUGUACUCACCGCCCGUCACACCAUGGGAGUUGUGUUUGCCUUAAGUCAGGAUGCUAAAUUGGCUACUGCCCACGGCACACACAGCGACUGGGGUGAAGUCGUAACAAGGUAACCGUAGGUGAACCUGCGGUUGGAUCACCUCCUUUCUAGA